rnacentral:rRNA from 1 species
AGUGAACGCUGGCGGUAGGCCUAACACAUGCAAGUCGAACGGCAGCACAGUAAGAGCUUGCCCUUACGGGUGGCGAGUGGCGGACGGGUGAGGAAUACAUCGGAAUCUACUUUUUUGUGGGGGAUAACGUAGGGAAACUUACGCUAAUACCGCAUACGACCUACGGGUGAAAGCAGGGGAUCUUCGGACCUUGCGCGAUUGAAUGAGCCGAUGUCGGAUUAGCUAGUUGGCGGGGUAAAGGCCCACCAAGGCGACGAUCCGUAGCUGGUCUGAGAGGAUGAUCAGCCACACUGGAACUGAGACACGGUCCAGACUCCUACGGGAGGCAGCAGUGGGGAAUAUUGGACAAUGGGCGCAAGCCUGAUCCAGCCAUACCGCGUGGGUGAAGAAGGCCUUCGGGUUGUAAAGCCCUUUUGUUGGGAAAGAAAAGCAGCAGGUUAAUACCCCGCUGUUCUGACGGUACCCAAAGAAUAAGCACCGGCUAACUUCGUG